CAGUCGCCGCGGGAAUACGUAGGGUCCGAGCGUUGUCCGGAAUUAUUGGGCGUAAAGAGCUCGUAGGCGGUCUGUCGCGUCUGCCGUGAAAUCCUCAGGCUCAACCUGAGGCGUGCGGUGGGUACGGGCAGGCUAGAGUGCGGUAGGGGAGAAUGGAACUCCUGGUGUAGCGGUGGAAUGCGCAGAUAUCAGGAAGAACACCGAUGGCGAAGGCAGUUCUCUGGGCCGUAACUGACGCUGAGGAGCGAAAGCGUGGGGAGCGAACAGGAUUAGAGACCCCUGUAGUCCCUGUCUCUUAUAC
rnacentral:rRNA from 1 species